AAUUCAUCUCUUCAGGGAAAUAAUCAAAGUAAUGGCCUAUAGGAAUGAACGAGAAGGAUCAGUAAGAGGAUACAUACAUAAACACAUGCAGGGAGACAUGUAAAUAAGUGAAGACUCCAGAAGUGAUGUCACAGCACCACCAGCCAACAGCUAAAAAACACAUUUGAAUGCAAGUUUAUAAAAAGGUCCCAGUACACUGCACUUUAGGAAUGUGGGUCAGUGUCAACUGUAUACAAAGAUAUAUAUUCCAACUAUUCUGCUGUGGUCGUUGAUUCUCCAUGUAAGUGUCAAUCUAGAUAUUUUACCUGACCGAAUCUGAUGCGCAAUUCAGACUCCGAAUAUAUUUUAUAACAGGCUUUUGUGAUUUUACAGCUAUUCUGCUAUUUGCAUGUAUGAUGCAUAAUGCAUUGCCUUCUGUCUUUUGGAUCAAAGCUUGUUUUUUUUAUUAUGAUUUACUGCAACGCCCCCACUGGACAUUUCAAAUGGCAUUUACUGUACUUUACUGUAGGCUACAUUUAUGUUCGUUAGCAGGUUUGGAUACAGUCAAGAUAAAACCAUUUUUACUAUAGAACAUUGAUUCUGGACCAUCCAUGGUGAUGCUUUUGUCGUACAACGAUUUUGGGAUCAAGAUAAUGUCAGACAAUGGAACGCUGUAUCGAAAUGUUGAUUUAUUUGGACAUAUUUGAUCUUACCUGACAAGGAGGAGGAGACGCACACAUCCUGACUCACCAAGCUCUGGGAUUUCUAUUCAUUUAGGAAAAUAAGUAAGAAAGAGAGACACAGAGAGAGAAAAAACACAAGUCCCCAUUCAUUUGCAACAGUUCGAUUCGGUUAUUUUUCAUCGCCUUGAAAGCUACUUGUUACCUUCAAAUAACAAGUAGCCUACCACCCACUGUAUAGCACAAUAAUGGCAUUUGUUUAUUUUUUAUCUUUUAUUCUUCAUUUCGGAGGGUUGUGUGUGUGUGUGUGUGUGUGUGUGUGUGUGUGUGUGUGUGUGUGUGUGUGUGUGUGUGUGUGUGUGUGUGUGUGUGUGUGUGUGUGUGUGUGUGUGUGUGAGAGAGAGGGAGAGAGAGAAAGAGAGAGAGAGAAAGAGAGAGAGAGAGAGAGAGAGGGAGAUCUAUUUCGCUUGCUUUGGCGAUGUAAACAUAUGUUUCCCAUGCCAAUAAAGCCCUUAAAUUUAACAUUGAGAGACAGAGAAAGAAUUAAGGGAGUGGCUCCAAUAAUUAGCGUCAUCUUUGCCAUCUUUGCCAUAUGUUCUGCCAAUUGCCAUGUGGACAUAAGAACAUAUUUUCUGAUUUUUGAAUCUACAUUUGCUAUAAAAUAUCACAUAAAACAACUGGAACUGUCCCUACAUGAACAAAUAUCCCACUGUUACUGCUAAACGUUCAUUGAUAGGCUACUAGAGAGUAGACCUGGUGGUCAAUCAUUAAUGAGACGUGCAACUUCGUGUUCGGGGUAAGGUUGGUGGCUGUUGCGGCAAUUGAGGAAGUGAUUGCAAUGGGGAUUUCAUGGAGAGAGCAACACCUCCAAUUAUACUGAGACUGUGUGUGUGAGUGUGUGUGUGUGUGUGUGUGUGUGUGUGUGUGUGUGUGUGUGUGUGUGUGUGUGUGUGUGUGUGUGUGUGUGUGUGUGUGUGUGUGUGUGUGUGUGUGUGUGUGUGUGGAGGGGGGGGUUACCAUUCUAACCGUUUUAGUUGAUGUCUGGAGAGCUCUUUUCUGUUGCAGCAACUGUUUAACUGUUGUCUUCACCCGCACACCCUGGUACACCUUUGGCUUAUCUGUCAAAAGAGAAAAACAUGGUGUCGAUGUUUACUGUAAACAAACUUGAAUGGUCCUAACCCUGCCACUCCUGAGCACUUUCACUGCCUGCUGCAUACUUUCACGCAACAAUUUAAUUAGGCCUAUUUAAUCAUUUAAAACAUUGGAAUAUUAUUAAAAACACACUUCAAUAUUACUAUAAGAUUGUUUUGAUCAGGGUGUUUAACGCAAUGUAUUACAUCUAUAAUUAUUUGUGAAUUUCAAACGAAUUAUGCAAUAUAGUAUGAACAAACGCUCAAAUGUUGCCGAGUUUAUUGUAUCAAAGUUGCCCAUGCGAAAGUGUCCUAAUAUUGUCCUACAUAGGUCUAUAUCCUCUGUAGCCUGCCUCUGCGAGAACCUCGCACGACAGAGACAGGGUUUCGAAUUUCACAGUCAAUACAGUGGGCUUGCCUUCACACUCAUUUCAAGCACAAAGGAAAGCUGUGCAAAAAUGACAUUGUAAAUGUAACGUUUCGAUUUUAUUUAGCUAAUAUGUUUCUUUUUAUUCUAUACAUAGGCCUAAAACACAGGUUAAGCGUUGCGAUCCAUGAAAGGGGGAUGAUAGCGGCAUAUUCCGUGAAAGUAGGGAAAUAAAGUUAGGCUACAGGUAAAGCGGGCAAACAACAGUCUGGUAAGAGUCAAUAACAAAGACCCAAAAGGACUCCACAAAUCCGGUGAAAAUAAGGUGAAAAUGGAAGACUUCGCUUGAGAAAUUCGUCCGAUUAUAAAAGAGGAACGUAAAAGAGAAGAACCAUGAUCCGAUGAAAAAAGAAUGCUAAACUUACCAGACAUGUUGUACAAAUUAAGAAGUACUCCUGGAAGAAGAGCAGUUAUGAGAUUCCACAAUGUCCUUUUCUGGCUGAGUUAUAUGGGCUAUAUCGAAAUAUUCAUAAAAGUCACAUAAAUUCUCAACACACAAGUCUUAAAACUGUCUCAGAGCAUACAAUAAUACCCUAAUAUAGCUAGGGAUAUAUUAGUUUGUGAAAUUUUCUCUCCAUGCCUACUUUUUAAAACCCCUAGAACUCAAUGAUUUGACAAUGAUUUGAUUGCGCGUUACUUUCAAUUUGAAUAUUCAAAGGCUACUCAAAAAUACAGAUUUUUCAGUAUAAAUCAAUACAUAUGCACUUAAAAUAACAUUUCAUUUAAUAUAAUUGAAUAAUAGUUUAUACCCAAACCAAAAAGAAAUUGACAUUUUGAACAUUUUAUCCAUCUUUUGCCAAUCUGCACAUCAGUCCCUCUUCAUAAUGAGGCACUACAGGAAAGUAACGGUUAGAUGUUCUAUGUAAACAUGACCAACAAUUAAACAUCGCAGAUCAUAUGUAUUUCAGGAUGGAUGAGCACAUCAACACGUUAUGACCAUUACAUUUUUAGUCUUAUUUUAAACAAUAAACUAUGACAUGUCUAGGUUGUGGGCGUGGCAUAUGGUAGCAGCCAUUUCUGCCAUCACUGACUCCAUUGCUCCCUCAGCAAUUGCAUGCUCCCCAUCACCGGAACUCACAUCACCCACGUCUUACCAAUUGUGUUAUAUUUCUUUUAGCAUUUUUUAGUGUAGUUACAUGAAUGAUAUAAUAUAAAGACUGAACGUUUCAGCCAUUCACAUGUCAAACCUGAUUUGACAUCCCAGGUCUCCUAUAUAUGAAUCGAGAAUACUAUCUACAAAUGUAUUACAAUGCAAAAAUUCGGUUUACAAACGUCUGAUAUAUUUUCAAUUCAAUGACAAGACUCCCCGAUUAGUCUACUUGUGUAGGCUAGAACUACUUAGAUGUGGACAAAGUCAUUUCAAUUGAUAGACUUAUUUGAAUAGGGUUACUGUCCAUACCAGUUUAAUUUUAUAAGAGUUUACAACUUAAUACAUAUGAUAUGAGAAAACAGCACAUUGCUUUAGAGAAAACCAUUUCCUAUAAAUGUUCUUCCAUUGUGAGCCUACAUUACAUUUGAAUAACAAUUUACAAACAUAUCAAACAAUGAACUCGAACCUAGUUUUAAUUCAAAUAGCUUAGAUUUCAUUUUUGGGGUAUCGAUCUAUCAUUAUCCUCACUCAUAUAUUGAGAAAAUGCACACACUAUCUGCCCAAUACAAUCUAUGGCCUUUCCUGAUUUGUACUGGUAGGGGCCUAUACAAUGAUCCCUAUUAUGUAGGCCUAAAUCCCAUCAUCUCCACUGGGUAGUUGUAUUGACAAACUUCUGACCUUCAAUAAAGUAGGACCUAGGUCCAUUAUCCUAACUACCAAGAAUAUUAUGCUAGUGCUCUCAUAGAAUAUCUAACGUUUGGCUUUUUAAAAUUAAUUUAUUGCUGCCGUUGCAAUCCCCCCCAUGAAUUACGCUAUCGUAAGAGACGAGGUAACACGAAAGAACCGCGCCAUCUAGUGUAGGAUAUACGUUAGUAGGUUCUCCCUAAGUCUUAAUUCGAUGUGGUGAUAACAGAACAAAGUAUAACUCAACAAACGGAAAAGGCAUGUUUUUUUCAUGUGUCAUUUUAGCAAAAAAAAUAUGUUUCAUUUUCAUGCAUUUAUUGCAGUGUCUUUUAUUAUAAUGGAUUUAUAAUAAAGAAUUCUACUGCCCUAUA